rnacentral:rRNA from 1 species
UACGGGGGGGGCAAGCGUUGUUCGGAAUUACUGGGCGUAAAGGGUUUGUAGGUGGCCCGCUAAGUCACACGUGAAAUCCCUCAGCUUAACUGGGGAACUGCGUGUGAGACUGGCAGGCUCGAGGGCAGGAGAGGAACGCGGAAUUCCAGGUGUAGCGGUGAAAUGCGUAGAUAUCUGGAGGAACACCGGUGGCGAAGGCGGCGUUCUGGACUGUCUCUGACGCUGAGGAGCGAAAGCCAGGGGAGCAAACGGG